GAUGAACGCUGGCGGCAUGCCUAACACAUGCAAGUCGAACGGCCACACGGGUGCUUGCACCCGGUGGCGUGUGGCGCAGGGGGGAGUAAUACAUGGGAACAUGCCAUGUAGUGGGGGAUGACACGGCCAAAGCAGGGGUAAUAACGCAUAAGAACAACUGAAGAAAGAUGGGGACCUUCGGGACUCGCGCUUUGCGGUCGGCCGUUGGCGGAUUAGCUAGUUGGUGGGGUAAAGGUCUACCAAGGCGACGCCAAGUAGCCGAUCUGAGAGGACGACCAGCCACACUGGAACUGAGACACGGCCCAGACUCCUACGGGAGGCAGCAGUGGGGAAUUUUGGACAAUGGGCGAAAGCCUGAUCCAGCAAUGCCGCGUGUGUGAAGAAGGCCUUCGGGUUGUAAAGCACUGUUGUCCGGGAAGAAAACCUUGGCCCUAAUACGGUCGCGGGAUGACGGUACCGGAUGAAUAAGCACCGGCUAACUACGUG
rnacentral:rRNA from 1 species